AGGCCCCCUACCCCUUGUUUCUCCCCUCAUCUGUUUGGUCCAGAGAGGAGCUGAGGAUCAGAGGGAACCAUCUGCAAACGAGAGCCCCAAAGCAUGGCGAGGAGCGCAGAUCCAGGCCAACCGAGACCCCCGGACCUGUCCCACCCUGGACCAACUCUGCGCCCAUACCGACAUCCCCAGGGUUUUAUAACGAGGGCGCCUAUGGGAAAAGGCAAGGUACGGGAAUCUGGGGACCACCAAGGCGGUCUCAAGGAGAAGCGCAGGGGUUGGGGAACAGAGGAUUAAAGCCAGUAUCCAGGCUGAGAAAGGAGCAGGCUCCGCAGAGGAGAAAAAAAAUAUCUCCUUGACGCUGUCCCCUCCAGGGACGUAGGGUGGCCUCUCACCUUGGUGAAUAACAAUCCCUGAAGUCUAGCAAUUACAGAAAUGCUUCCAGAGGUCUUCUUUCAUUCAUCCCUACAGUGACUGGGGAAGGUAGGUAUUGACAUCUUCAUUUAGAGAUGGGAAAACAGACUCAGGGUGGUUAGUUGACUUGCCCAAGGGCACACAACUAAUAAAGGUCACAAACAGCCCUACUCUCUGCCCACCUUCAAAAUCCACACUGCCUUGGAGCUGCUGCCCUAGCCCCCACUGCCCCUCUCAUCCAGGGUGGGCCAGAAAGGUGAGUGAGUAUUGGGAGGACUAUAGAACCCCAGCUCUGAGACACAAUCUCCAACCUGUAUUUGAGGCCCUUCUCCCUCAGUUGCUCUUAUUGUUCCCCAUCGAAUCUGUGGAGAUCCCGAGCUGCCCCUCCCUUCACUUCCAAAACAUUGAGGAUGGAGGGCCCACUACAUGAGGCCUGGAUUUUCUCUAGGCCAGGCCAGAGGCCAUAAGUGUCCCUUCCCCUUAUAGCUUCCUCUUCCUUCUACCUUCCCUUUCACAUGCAGAACCACUGACAAAUUUCAGCAGGAGCUGGGAAAUUUACCUAAUUUUAAGGAAGGCCCUGGGAUGAGACAGCCCCUUCCCCCAGACUGACCUGAUUUAAGUGCUUCUUCUGCCAAGGUCACCAGCACGUCUGGUGGGUGAGAGAUGUGGUUACUUAUUUCAUGUCCCAGCCAGGGACGCACAGGUAAGACAAAGCAGGAUUUUCCUGGAACCUGCUACCAAGGUGAUCCAUUCUGUGCCCGCUACCCUUAUCCUCAGCUGACCUGGGGUUCUUGCCCUUGACAUUAGCUAGGACAUCUUUUUUUAUUUCUUUUUAAAGAAUUUAGUCCCUGAUCCCCUCAAUGCUUGUCCCUUUCCUUUUAACAACAUACCUUAAAUUUACACUAGCUGUGUGCCCAGCACUGUGCUCACUCCUGUUGAUUCAGUGGCAGAUGAAAAGAGUCCCCAUUAUUAGACUGCUCACAGCCUAGCAAGGGACAGACUCCAAACACAUCUGGGAGAGUAACUACCAUCAGGCAGACUGGUAGCAGGUGUUCAUGCUUCCCCUUGCCCAGAACUACUUCUUCCGGUAGGUAAGAGAAGGAUGGGAGUUGUGCGCUGCAACUGAAAAUCCGAGCAGGGUGGGGAGCCUCUAAUGAAGUAGUUGCCAGCCUAAGCCCUCCAUUCCUGGGGAUGCUCUGGCCAUUGCCAACCACUGCCACCCAAGGCCUGGUGGAAACAAGGGUAAGCUACAUAGAACCUCUUACGUGGAAAAUUAUGAACUCAACAAGCCUACAUUCUGUCUCGCGCGCGCUGAUCAGAAAUGUGAGGCACAAAAAAAGGGAGAGCAUUGAAUCAAUGAUUACCUAAUAAAUUUGGUUGGCUUGGCAGGAAGUAUCUUUCCAAUCGUGGUCCACAGAGGAGGAAAUCCUAGAAGGGAGGCUUGGUGAAGUUUGGAACCAAUGCUUUGGUGGAUCUGUGCUUCCACCUGCUGGACGCAGGAGGUAUGACAGCCAAGACAGGGCGAGGCCUUCAGAAGUGAUGGAGAUGGAGUCACAGCGUGGGUGACAUUUCUAGACUGUUGUGGCCUUGUCACCUCCGAUGGAGAAAUUGUGCUGUCACUGGGGACACUCAGAGCUUAGAUGACUGAGCAGGUCUCCCCAGGAAUCUUCCUCCCUCUGCCUGAUGACCAUUACUCAUCGAGCGCCUCUUCAAAUUAAAAAAAAAAUUUUUUUUUAGGGAUGCCUGGGUGGCUCAAUGGGUUGAGCGACCGGCUUUGGCUCAGGUCAUGAUCUCACGGUUUGUGAGUUCGAGCCCCG
rnacentral:lncRNA from 1 species